rnacentral:rRNA from 1 species
CAGCCUACGGGAGGCAGCAGUGGGGAAUAUUGGGCAAUGGGCGCAAGCCUGACCCAGCAACGCCGCGUGAAGGAAGAAGGCUUUCGGGUUGUAAACUUCUUUAUGAGGGACGAAAGAAAUGACGGUACCUCAUGAAUAAGCCACGGCUAACUACGUGCCAGCAGCCGCGGUAAUACGUAGGUGGCAAGCGUUAUCCGGAUUUACUGGGUGUAAAGGGCGUGUAGGCGGGACUGCAAGUCAGAUGUGAAAAUUAUGGG